ACAUGUUUCCCAAAAAAAAAGAAAGUGAAAGUGGAUCAACUUCUGACAACCUAACAAAAAAAGCUACAAUAUAGAGGGAUUCGGAGAGGCUCCAUGAACAAUCUCAGUCAGGGAAAAGUAAAGCUGAGGAUAGUUAUGAAAACAACAUUGAGGGAGGUGGACAAGGGUCUGUAGAUAGUGAUGAGAAAAAUGAAUAGGAGAUGGAAGAAGAAGAUAAAAAAAGAAAAGGGAGGAAAAAGUAAGAAAGAGGAUGAUAAUGCAUCACCAAUGAGGCAUGAAUUAAUAUCAAAAUCCCAGUAUGAGGCUGUUGAAACUAUUCGUAUUGACAGGUUUCAAGUUGCGAUGCUGAUAGAUGACCCUGCAAUACUAACUGGUGAACUUGUACUUAAAUGUUAGUUGGGGAAGCCUUUUGACAAUUUUAGGAAUAAUAUAAAGAAUGAAAACAUAGACGGAC
rnacentral:lncRNA from 1 species